UCGAGCCGGAGGGCAGCUAACGCUUCUCUUGAUUGAGAAGUGAGGAAACUCCGCCCAUCACUGCAGGACCCGGAGGGUUAAUAAACCCGUGCCGAGAGGCACAGCUCUGGAGCAGAAACGGUACCCUUGCAUAGAAGUAAGCUGUGAAGUCGAAAGACAGAGUUUCUAUACAGGGGGUGAAACGGCCAUCUCCGGGGAUGCAAGCAGAAGGGAGCGCUCGGCUGCAGGAGUCCCUUCGCUAUGGCGCUAAGACGAAUGCUGCAUGGGAAACCGGAAGAUGAUAUUCUUCUUCCGGCUAUUCCUACAACAGAAGGUGGGUUACUCCCGGCACGG
rnacentral:RNase_P_RNA from 1 species